UCCUCCUCCAACGAAGUCACCUCCUCCUCCAAAGUAGUCACUACCAACCUAUGUUGACCAAAACAAACACUAUUUGUACUAGGUUGUGUAAGCUAAUAAAGCCUUAUAAAGAAUAAUUGGUGCUGAAGUAAUCAGAUGCCAUCGUCAGGCGUUGUUUAUUACAAUGGUUCAACUUCAAUCAAGGCAACCUACUUAAUUGAGACAAGUGGGCAUAUAUAAUAUACAAUAAAGGACAAAAUAUGAUUUUACUCUCUUUAUUUAAGAUAUAAUAAAUUUGUGUUUCCUAUAAGUCGAGCCUAUUUGUUCAUCAAUACAAGUAUGCUUAAGGUGUCUUUUAUUUCCUGUAAUAAGCCGGAUCAUGUUCGUCCAUUCCAUUUGUAGUUUAAGCCAUUGACUC